rnacentral:rRNA from 1 species
CCCAUACCAUUUGCCAACCUACCUAGCUAUGCCUCGGCGUAAGCGUGGCAAGGAGGCGUGCCGGCGGAAGCCAGCUACCCUGUAGCAGUUACCCUGUAGCUACCCUGUAGCUACCCUGUAGCGUUGGCCUCCCGCUCGGCGUGCCGUUCCUGCCACAGCCCGCCGGUGGUACACUAAAUUCUUGUUUUAACUGGAUCGUCUGAGUCUUAUUUUAAUAAAUCAAAACUUUCAACAACGGAUCUCUUGGUUCUGGCAUCGAUGAAGAACGCAGCGAAAUGCGAUAAGUAAUGUGAAUUGCAGAAUUCAGUGAAUCAUCGAAUCUUUGAACGCACAUUGCGCCCAUUAGUAUUCUAGUGGGCAUGCCUGUUCGAGCGUCAUUUCAACCCUUAAGCCUAGCUUAGUGUUGGGAAUCUACUGUACUGUAGUUCCUUAAAGACAGUGGCGGAGUGCUAGUUGUCCUCUGAGCGUAGUAAUUUGUUUCUCGCUUUUGUCAGGCGCUGGCCUCCCGCCAUAAAACCCCUAUUUUUUUUGUGGUUGACCUCGGAUCAGGUAGGAAUACCCGCUGAACUUAAGCAUAUCAAUAAGC